CUAGGCAGUGGGGAAGGAUGGCACUCGAGCUCAGAAUGGCAAGCGGUGAUGCUAGAGCUACAGUACGGAAGAUGAACGGGCAUAAUGGCUUGGGUGAAAUGGAAGGAUGAGUUCCUCCAUUAUUUAUAACCGUGGCACAAUUAACCAAGAGGCGGGAGUUACGGGGAAUAUUCCAUUUUUAAAGCCCUCAGUUAUCACUGGAUGGUUUCCAAUUUCUUCGGAAGAGAUAAGGUUACUAUUGACGAACGAUCACAUUAACCAGUGGUUGAUCCUUAUACCCAAACUAGUCAUCUAACGGCUCGGGGGCUGUGUGCCAUGUGCCCGUCGGUUAAAAAGUUUUCUUUGGGUUUCAAGGCAAAAGAGAUGUAAAA
rnacentral:lncRNA from 1 species